GACGGAAGGUGCAAGCGUUGCUCGGAAUCACUGGGCGUAAAGGGUGCGUAGGCGGCUUGGUAGGUCUGGUGUGAAAGCCCCGGGCUCAGCCCGGGAAGGGCACUAGAAACUGCCAAGCUAGAGUGCCGGAGGGGAGAGUGGAAUUCCUGGUGUAGCGGUGAAAUGCGUAGAGAUCAGGAGGAAUACCGGUGGCGAAAGCGACUCUCUGGACGGCAACUGACGCUGAGGCACGAAGGCCAGGGGAGCAAACGGG
rnacentral:rRNA from 1 species